CUGCCACGCUCUUGUCUUGAGGAUAAUGAACUGAACCUCUGAACCUGAUUCAGCCAUCAAUAAGGAUUCCUAUCUGCAUUAAAUGACACAAGAUGGCAGCCGAAGACUUCUUUGAGUGAAAAAGUUAGCUUCCCGGUGGUGCAGAUUGCUUUUGGUCAUAAUAUUGAACUCUGCAAUAGAAAGCAAAAUAGAAGAAAAUGGAUGAUUCAAGGACAAUUGCUUCCCCAGACAUGGGUGAGGACGUCUGGAAUCCGCAUCCCUGGGGCUCCCCCUCCUGCUUCCUGACCUGCUUGAGUUCCAG